AGAGCGAACGCUGGCGGCAGGCUUAACACAUGCAAGUCGAGCGGGCGUAGCAAUACGUCAGCGGCAGACGGGUGAGUAACGCGUGGGAACGUACCUUUUGGUUCGGAACAACACAGGGAAACUUGUGCUAAUACCGGAUAAGCCCUUACGGGGAAAGAUUUAUCGCCGAAAGAUCGGCCCGCGUCUGAUUAGCUAGUUGGUGAGGUAACGGCUCACCAAGGCGACGAUCAGUAGCUGGUCUGAGAGGAUGAUCAGCCACAUUGGGACUGAGACACGGCCCAAACUCCUACGGGAGGCAGCAGUGGGGAAUAUUGGACAAUGGGCGCAAGCCUGAUCCAGCCAUGCCGCGUGAGUGAUGAAGGCCCUAGGGUUGUAAAGCUCUUUUGUGCGGGAAGAUAAUGACGGUACCGCAAGAAUAAGCCCCGGACUAACUUCGUGCCAGCAGCCGC
rnacentral:rRNA from 1 species